rnacentral:rRNA from 1 species
GAUGAACGCUAGCGGCAGGCCUAAUACAUGCAAGUCGAACGGUCAGUAGCAAUACUGAUAGUGGCGCACGGGUGCGUAACACGUAACUAACCUACCUAUAACUGGGGGAUAGCCCGCCGAAAGGCGGAUUAAUACCGCAUAAGCUAGUUAAACGGCAUCGUUUGAUUAGUAAAGAUUUAUUGGUUAUAGAUGGGGUUGCGGGUCAUUAGCUAGUUGGUAAGGUAACGGCUUACCAAGGCGACGAUGACUAGGGGAGCUGAGAGGCUGGUCCCCCACACGGGCACUGAGAUACGGGCCCGACUCCUACGGGAGGCAGCAGUAGGGAAUAUUGGGCAAUGGGCGAGAGCCUGACCCAGCCAUGCCGCGUGCAGGAAGAAGGCUUUCUGAGUCGUAAACUGCUUUUGACAGGGAAGAAUAAGCACUACGUGUAGUGCGAUGACGGUACCUGCAGAAUAAGCACCGGCUAACUCCGUGCCAGCAGCCGCGGUAAUACGGAGGGUGCGAGCGUUGUCCGGAUUUAUUGGGUUUAAAGGGUGCGUAGGCGGCCCGUUAAGUCCGGGGUGAAAGCCCGCUGCUNCACAGCGGAACUGCCCUGGAUACUGACGGGCUUGAGUACAGACGAGGUUGGCGGAAUGGACUGAGUAGCGGUGAAAUGCAUAGAUACAGUCCAGAACC